AGGUGCUUCCUACUGUUUGAACCCAACUGGUUGCCAGCAGUCCAGGGAGCUCCAGAGUCAGCCUCCCAGGGCAUAAAGCCCAUGUUCUUCCUUAUACAACAAGUUGACUCUCAUUUUCGAUGCACAUUGUAAUAGCAACCACAAAUUUUAUCAUGGCUAGAGACUUGUUGAACUAGGCACUUUCAAUUUCUUCUCUAGAACUCAGAAGGUCGUGACAUGGCUCCUGAGUUUAGAUGGGAAGAGGAAGAUGGGAAUGAACUACCAUCACCUAGGGACCACAGUGGAAUGCAGUGGAAAGAUGUGAGCUUUGGAACUG